GUGGGGAAUCUUGCGCAAUGGGCGAAAGCCUGACGCAGCCAUGCCGCGUGAAUGAUGAAGGUCUUAGGAUUGUAAAAUUCUUUCACCGGGGACGAUAAUGACGGUACCCGGAGAAGAAGCCCCGGCUACCUUCGUGCCAGCAGCCGCGGUAAUACGAAGGGGGCUAGCGUUGCUCGGAAUUACUGGGCGUACAGGGCGCGUAGGCGGACAGUUUAGUCAGAGGUGAAAGCCCAGGGCUCAACCUUGGAAUUGCCUUUGAUACUGGCUGUCUUGAGUACGGGAGAGGUGAGUGGAACUCCGAGUGUAGAGGUGAAAUUCGUAGAUAUUCGGAAGAACACCAGUGGCGAAGGCGACUCACUGGCCCGUUACUGACGCUGAGGCGCGAAAGCGUGGGGAGCAAACAGGAUUAGAUACCCCUGUAGUCC
rnacentral:rRNA from 1 species